rnacentral:rRNA from 1 species
GUGGGCAGCAGGCGCGCAAAUUGCCCAAUGCCAACAAAUUCUGCGAGGCAGCGACAAACUGCAGCAAUUCCACUGGCCUUCUUCGCCAGUGGAACUUGGAAUGGAUGCAAUCCAAAGACAGUGAUAAGUAACAACUGGAGGGAAAGUCUGGUGCCAGCAGCUGCGGUAAUUCCAGCUCCAAGGGCGUAUACUAACAUUGCUGCAUUAAAACGCUUGUAGUCUGCCACUGGGUCGCAGGUCUGCCUGGCGGCCGUGCAGCGGUAAGGCGGACGGAGCCGGUCCUUCUCGCUGUCUCUCGGGCCGUGCGGGGCGGGCUCGCCGUGUGUUUGGGCCGCAGUGCGGUGAAAACUCGUGGCGGAAUGUUUCUGCACCCGCCAUGUCUACUCGCGACGGUGAGAUCUGCUCCUGCACAAAGCCCCCUUCACUGGGGGCCCGCAGCGGGUUCGCUCCAAACGCAGGUGUGGACAGCCACAGAUGGACCAGUCCCUCCAUGUGCUCGAGCCCAGUCCCUUUGCAACCGCCCGUCCACCACCGGAGCCCCCCGUCACAGACACCGUGAAAAACGCAGUGUGCCAAAAGCGUCCACCACUCGGCUGGAUGCCCAUCCAUGGCAUGUCAACGUACCGACCAAGCGUGGCACAGUGGAGUUGUGCUGCCCUUGGCGCCCGCUUUUUGCAAUGUGGUGCGUGCAACGGCGCACUCCGACCGCAAACAGACCACCGCGGUACGUCCUCGGCGAGCCCGCACUCGCGGGUGGGGACUACCGGGGUUGGCACGGGAGAUCACUGGGGACGUUGGGCGUCCCGGCAGCGCGCUUCGGCCGAAUCCGAUGGUACAACUCAGGGUGAAAGGUACUUCGGCGCCAGUGGUGAAAUUCUUAGACCGCCUUAAGACCAACGGCGGCGAAGGUGCUCUGCAAGGCUGUGUUUGUCGAUCAAGAACGGGAGUCCAGGGAGCAAAG